GCAGCAUUUGCCCAGGCAACACGGGCUGGGGGCGUUUCUGAACGAUGCUUUGAGAGAAUCACUUUCCACAAGAGAAGACACUCAGGAGGGGAAGGGAGAGAACGCAACAGAAAGUGAGGUCCAGCAGAGACUUGAUUCUGUGGUUCUGUGAGGUCUGUCAUCUCUGGAAGCCCCCGGCCCCCUCCGGCUCACCGCAUACCCCUGGAGACCACAGGCCCCUCUGCGGACAGUCUCGGAGGAGGUGCAGGCAGGGAGCUGCUGUUGAGGAUGUGGCGCGCUGUGGACCCCUAGUGGUGAGGUCCAGGCAGCCCUGUCGGGACCGCAGCCGGGCCCUCCUGUGUGGUGUGGGAAACCCUAAGGGGUCCUCCCCUAGGUCAGCCUCUGUUCCAGCCUUUGUUCUCAAGAAAUUCACGUGGAAUUUUCACUGGAAGUCUUUUCAUCUUCGUUUUGGACAGACCAAUGCCCUGCUUGAGCAGGGAGGAUGUGGGUCAGAAGUGAUGCCACCAGAGAAUGGAUCACUAAGUAUUGUGUUAAAAAAGAAAAAAAAAAAAAAAUCACCCUAGAGAAGGAAGUUGCAACCUGCUCCAGUGUUCUUGCCUGGAAAAUUCCAUGGACAGAGAGCCUAGCGGGUUACAGUCCAUGGGGUCUCAAAGAGUCAGCUGUGACUGAGCACAUCAGCGCAUACUGUGGUGUAAAAUGGGUCUUUCCUUUCGUAUUCCUACCAGAAGAGUUUGGGGCUUCCAGUUCUUCCAUGUCCUUGCCAAUAUGUUUAGUCUUUUUUAAACUUUUGACUUUUAAAUAAAUGUGUGGCAUUAAAAAGA